UUCACAUGUCUUGGGUCGCUCGCAAGCGAACGAUCGGCUCGCGAGCCGGGCCUUCAUGUGAACAACCGCUCAAGAGCGGUUUUUGUCGUGGGUGACCCACGACAAGCCGCUCGCGAGCGGCUCUCGAUGCAGCUCGCUCUUGAUCCAUGUGAACAGCCGCUUGCGAGCGGGUCGCCAGCGAGCUGUGACCUCUUUUGUGUGAAAGCCAAUCAGAUACAAGCAUCUCCUCGGGGUCAAAGUAAUGGAGAAGAGUGUGACUCCACGUUUCCUGGUUACCGGUUUCGCUGGGCUAAACAAACCUUGAUCGUCCAUUUUUUUUAUUUUUUUUUGUUUCGCAGUGCACUGAGUUUUGUAGUACAGUAAUUUGAUAUCGCUAUUUCCGUAACUUACAUUGUAUAAUCCAGUUUUAUUUUGGGAAGACACUAAUACUAAAUAAUCUAUUUACCAUAUAUCAUAGAGUAAGCAGUCAGCGCAGGGAUUGUUUGUGUUCAGAAAAUGGUCCAGUAUUUUGUUUCUCAGAUUGCAAUCAUCAGUGUCAGAUGUAAACCAUUUUAGAUUCUCCUGAAGACCUAAUGGAGAAAAAGGAUGGAUAAAGCCAGCCCGAUUCAGAUUAAUGUUACAGUAGUACUUUUUUAACAAUAAAAUUAUUCAUGUGCCUAAAGGAGUGUUUAAGUAAACUUAUUGAUUUCUUUUUAGCGUUUGUAUAAAAUUAAACCAAUCCAGUCUGGCACAUGUACAUGAAAUAAUGAACAAAGUUAUAAUAAACUAUGGAAUUUGUAAA